GGGGAAUUUUCCGCAAUGGGCGCAAGCCUGACGGAGCAACGCCGCGUGAGGGAGGAAGGCCUGUGGGUUGUAAACCUCUUUUCUCAAGGAAGAACACAAUGACGGUACUUGAGGAAUCAGCAUCGGCUAACUCCGUGCCAGCAGCCGCGGUAAGACGGAGGAUGCAAGCGUUAUUCGGAAUUAUUGGGCGUAAAGCGUCCGUAGGUGGUUAUAAAAGUCUGUUGUUAAAGCCCACAGCUCAACUGUGGAUCGGCAAUGGAAACUGUAUGACUUGAGUGUGGUAGGGGUAGAGGGAAUUCCUAGUGUAGCGGUGAAAUGCGUAGAUAUUAGGAAGAACACCAGUGGCGAAGGCGCUCUACUGGGCCAUAACUGACACUGAUGGACGAAAGCUAGGGGAGCGAAAGGGAUUAGAUACCCCAGUAGUC
rnacentral:rRNA from 1 species